rnacentral:rRNA from 1 species
AUUGAACGCUGGCGGCAGGCCUAACACAUGCAAGUCGAACGGAGCGGCGGACGGGUGAGUAAUGUCUGGGGAUCUGCCCGGUAGUGGGGGAUAACGUCCGGAAACGGGGGCUAAUACCGCAUACUAUCGGAUGAACCUAGAGUGGAUUAGCUAGUGGGUGGGGUAAAGGCCCACCAAGGCGACGAUCCGUAACUGGUCUGAGAGGAUGAUCAUCCAUACGGGGACUGAGACACGGUCCAGACUCCUACGGGAGGCAGCAGUGGGGAAUAUUGGACAAUGGGCGAAAGCCUGAUGCAGCCAUGCCGCGUGUGUGAAGAAGGUCUUAGGAUUGUAAAGUACUUUAAGUUGGGAGGCGUUACCAACAGAAUAAGCACCGGCUAACUUCGUGCCAGCCGCCGCGGUAAUUC